rnacentral:tRNA from 1 species
GUCCCUGUAGCUUAUACAAAGCAUGACGCUGAAGACGUCAAGAUGGUUGCCCCACGCACCCAAGGACA